rnacentral:rRNA from 1 species
AGCGAACGCUGGCGGCAGGCUUAACACUUGCAAGUCGAACGGGCACUUCGGUGUCAGUGGCAGACGGGUGAGUAACACGUGGGAACGUACCUUUUGGUUCGGAACAACUGAGGGAAGCUUCAGCUAAUACCGGAUAAGCCCUUACGGGGAAAGAUUUAUCGCCGAAAGAUCGGCCCGCGUCUGAUUAGCUAGUUGGUAGGGUAAUGGCCUACCAAGGCGACGAUCAGUAGCUGGUCUGAGAGGAUGAUCAGCCACAUUGGGACUGAGACACGGCCCAAACUCCUACGGGAGGCAGCAGUGGGGAAUAUUGGACAAUGGGGGCAACCCUGAUCCAGCCAUGCCGCGUGAGUGAUGAAGGUCCUAGGGUUGUAAAGCUCUUUUGUGCGGGAAGAUAAUGACGGUACUGCAAGAAUAAGCCCCGGCUAACUUCGUGCCAGCCGCCGCAGUAA